GCAGAUCUUGGUGGUAGUAGCAAAUACUCCAGCGAGGCCCUGGAGGACUGACGUGGAGAAGGGUUUCGUGUGAACAGCCGUUGCACACGAGUCAGUCGAUCCUAAGCCCUAGGAGAAAUCCGAUGUUAAUGCAGUUGUGUCUUUAUUAUACGAUGACAUUUAGUGUGAGAGUUUCAAACAGUUGACGUUUAUACUUGGAUACGGACCAAAUGAUGCUGACUGAUAUAUCAAUACUGUCGCUAUCCCAAAUUUGAACCGUUCAGAAGUAGAAGCAGUCGGUGGACUCUUACUUACUUGGUUCAAUGUCUGGUGAGCGAUUUACAUGAUAGUUGAAGCAACACAUUUUUUUCUGUUGAAAAGUGUCUUCUGUCUCUAUCCGCUAAUAAAUCGUUGUUAGAGAAGUAUCACACUCAUUGGGCGAAAGGGAAUCCGGUUCCUAUUCCGGAACCCGGCAGCGGAACCGUUUACAAGUCGGGCCCUCGUAAGAGAGUUCGUCGGGGCAACCCAACAGGACCUGGAGACGCCGUCGGGAGAUCCGGGAAGAGUUUUCUUUUCUGUAUGAGCGUUCGAGUUCCCUGGAAUCCUCUAGCAGGGAGAUAGGGUUUGGAACGCGAAGAGCACCGCAGUUGCGGCGGUGUCUGGAUCGUCCCCUCGGACCUUGAAAAUC
rnacentral:rRNA from 1 species